UGCACGCGCGCCGUCUUCUGCUCCUACCCCCGGCAAGGCAAGCAAGAGGCCUCUGUCUCUCCCGCCGUACCUGGUACGUAUGUGCCGCGAUCCGGGUUCUCUAACAACUAGCUCCAACUGUGGCGGCCACUGCAGGUUCCCGAACGAGACAGCCGAUGGGCGACGACGUGCUCCGCCGCGCCUCCGUCCAUCCUCUCGACGCCGACUCCGGGGGCAUGAAGGACAAGGCUGGCGCUUCUCCACCCGGACGCUGAUUUUGAUCCAAUCUCGUUCCCUAUCAUUGUUAAGGCCCACACUGGCAGGCGCAUUGUUCUUGAUGUCAAGAGUGUAGAUACUAUUCAUAACGUCAAGACCAAGAUUCAUGACAAGAAGGGUAUCCCUCCACAGCAGCAGUGUCUCAUAUUUGGUAGCAGCAAGGAGCUGGAGGAUGGACGGACCUUGGCCGACUACAGCAUCCAAAAGGAAUUCUUCCUUCAUCUUAUCCCUCGCAUCCGCGGAUGGAUGGAGAUUUCUGUGGAGACCCUCGACGGCAGGGUGAUCACCCUCCAGGUCGACCCAUCAGAUACCAUCAUUGCAGUCAAGGUAGAGAUUCAAGCUCAACAUCACCUUAUCUUCAACGGGAAGCAACUGGACGACAGGCUUAUAUUGGCUGAUUAUGGCAUCCAAUAUAGGCCCAUUCCUGACUUUCGUUACCAGCUCCAGGAAAUGAUGAAAAUAUGCAUCAGGACGCUGGACAACUCUCUGUAUGUUAAGAGCUCAGACACUAUCGACAGCGUCAAGGCCAAGAUUAAUGAUGAGUAUGGUUCAUCCAGGCCAGUAGUGCCUCAUGUUUGACAAGACGACCAUGACAUCCCCAAUUAUUCCGUACUCAAUCUUACAGGGCUGCCAUACUUUAGCCGAUUAUGGAAUCCAGAACGGAGCCACACUCAGACCAUGUCGUCUGUUACCGACCAAGACUGAUGGAGAUCUUCGUCAGGAAUUUGAAAGGGAAGGCCCUGACGUUUAAGGUUGAGAUCACAGAUACGAUCCGCAGUGUCAAGGAGAAGAUUGAGCAGGUGGAACAUAUUGACCUGGCAAGCCAACGCCUCAUCUUUGCCGGGCGGCAGCUGGAGGAUGGCUUCACACUGGCGGAAUACAAGAUCCAGGCUGAAUCCACAUUUCAUCUUUACCUCCGUCUUUAUUCAUGUGCUACUAAAUGUCCCGGAACCCAUCACUAGAGAGUGUAUUAAUGUCUCUGAAGUGAUUUGCUGGAAUCA